AUACUUACCUGGCAUGGGAUACACCAUGAUCAAGAAGGUGGUCUACCCAGGGCUAGGCUCAGCCAUUGCACUCUGGCCAUGCUGACCCCUGAGAAUUCCCCAAAUGUGGUAAUUUCAACUGCAUAAUUUAUGGUAGUUGGGUAAUAUGGUGUUCGUGCUCUCCCCUU
rnacentral:snRNA from 1 species